GACGAACGCUGGCGGCGUGCCUAAUACAUGCAAGUCGAACGAGAGCGACCGGUGCUUGCACUGGUCAAUCGAGUGGCGAACGGGUGAGUAACACGUGGGUAACCUGCCCAUCAGAGGGGGAUAACAUGCGGAAACGGAUGCUAACACCGCAUAGGCCCUCGAACCGCAUGGUGUGAUGAGGAAAAGAGGCGGAUGCUUCUGCUGUUGGGUGUUCUCGCGGUGCAUUAGCUGGUUGGUGUGGUAACGGCUCACCAAGGCCGCGAUGCAUAGCCGACCGGAGGGGGUGGUCGGCGGCAUGGGGGCGGAGACGCGGACCAAAGUCCUAAGGGAGGCAGCAGUAGGGAAUGUGCCGCAGUGGACGGAAGUCUGGCGGAGCGACGGCGCGCGUGUGAAGAAGGUGUUGGGAGCGUGAAAAUGUCUUGUUAGAGAAAAACAGCUGUCGGAGUUGAUGAAGGGGGCGUGACGGUAACUAGUCAGGAAGCCACGGCUAACUACGUG
rnacentral:rRNA from 1 species